GCCGGGCAUGGUGGCUCAUGCCUGUAAUCCCAACCCUUUGGGAGGCUGAGGCGGGCAGAUCACCAGAGGUCAGGAGUUUAGGACCAGCCUGGCCAACAUGGUGAAACCCCGUCUCUA
ensembl:misc_RNA Metazoa_SRP Metazoan signal recognition particle RNA